rnacentral:rRNA from 1 species
UACGUAGGUGGCAAGCGUUGUCCGGAUUUAUUGGGUUUAAAGGGUGCGUAGGCGGCCCUGUAAGUCAGUGCUGAAAUAUCCCGGCUUAACCGGGAGGGUGGCAUUGAUACUGCGGGGCUAGAGUACAGAUGAGGUAGGCGGAAUUGACGGUGUAGCGGUGAAAUGCUUAGAUAUCGUCAAGAGCACCUAUAGCGAAGGCAGCUUACUAGGCUGUAACUGACGCUGAGGCACGAAAGUGUGGGGAUCAAACAGG